GAGUUUGAUCAUGGCUCAGAUUGAACGCUAGCGGGAUGCCUUACACAUGCAAGUCGAACGGCAGCACGGACUUCGGUCUGGUGGCGAGUGGCGAACGGGUGAGUAAUGUAUCGGAACGUGCCUAGUAGCGGGGGGAUAACUACGCGAAAGCGUAGCUAAUACCGCAUACGCCCUACGGGGGAAAGCAGGGGAUCGCAAGACCUUGCACUAUUAGAGCGGCCGAUAUCGGAUUAGCUAGUUGGUGGGGUAACGGCUCACCAAGGCGACGAUCCGUAGCUGGUUUGAGAGGACGACCAGCCACACUGGGACUGAGACACGGCCCAGACUCCUACGGGAGGCAGCAGUGGGGAAUUUUGGACAAGUGGGGAAACCCCGAUCCAGCCAUCCCGCGUGUGCGAUGAAGGCC
rnacentral:rRNA from 1 species